rnacentral:rRNA from 1 species
UACGAAGGGGGCUAGCGUUGUUCGGAAUUACUGGGCGUAAAGCGCGCGCAGGCGGUCCUUUAAGUCGGGGGUGAAAGCCCAGAGCUCAACUCUGGAACUGCCUUCGAAACUAGAGGACUUGGGUACGGGAGAGGUGAGUGGAAUUCCCAGUGUAGAGGUGAAAUUCGUAGAUAUUCGGAAGAACACCAGUGGCGAAGGCGGCUCACUGGCCCGUUACCGACGCUCAGGCGCGACAGCGUGGGGAGCAAACAGG